AUUGAACGCUGGCGGCAUGCUUUACACAUGCAAGUCGAACGGUAACAGGCCGCAAGGUGCUGACGAGUGGCGAACGGGUGAGUAAUGCGUCGGAACGUGCCCAGUCGGGGGGGAUAACUACUCGAAAGGGAAGCUAAUACCGCAUACGAUCUAUGGAUGAAAGCGGGGGACCGUAAGGCCUCGCGCGAUUGGAGCGGCCGAUGUCAGAUUAGGUAGUUGGUGGGGUAAAGGCUCACCAAGCCAACGAUCUGUAGCUGGUCUGAGAGGACGACCAGCCACACUGGGACUGAGACACGGCCCAGACUCCUACGGGAGGCAGCAGUGGGGAAUUUUGGACAAUGGGCGCAAGCCUGAUCCAGCAAUGCCGCGUGCAGGAAGAAGGCCUUCGGGUUGUAAACUGCUUUUGUACGGAACGAAACGGCUCUGGUUAAUACCCGGGGCUAAUGACGGUACCGUAAGAAUAAGCACCGGCUAACUACGUG
rnacentral:rRNA from 1 species